UUUUUUAAUACAUCCUAAUCCGUUUUUUCUUCAUUCUUGUUUCUUCUCCAACUUGUUUUCCUCUUCUCCCCUCUCCUCUUCUGCCCCCAACCUAGUUUAUUUGUCAUUUUUAUUCUCUAUUCUAACCAUAUUAUGUAUGAUCUCCCUCUAUCUCACUCCUCCUCUCCCUCACCCUCUUCAUCUCCCCCGUUCAGUCGGCCCCUAUCCAAUCUCCCCCAAUUAUUUUGUUCUUAAGUUGUUUAACUCAAUUUUAGUGCAGGAAUUCGGCUAUCUCAUCUCCCUCCGGUGAUAGUUCGGCAGCAAAUUAGUUUAUUUUUUAAUUUUUUUUUUUUGCAGUAUAAUAUGUAUAUAGUGAUAUUAAUAAUUUACUUGUUUAGAUUAGUUAUUUGUUUUAUUGUUUAUAUCAAUUUUGUUUGAUACUUGUUUAUAUAAACUCUAGUUUAAAAUUCUUGUAUAAUAAAUGCGUUUUAAUAUUUAUAUUGUUGUGUUUAUUAUGUAUACUUUAUGUUUUCAAAGUUGUUUAUAUUUAAUGUAGUAAAUAUUGAAUUUUGAAUU
rnacentral:lncRNA from 1 species